GUCUUCUCUGAUGGGGUGACGUGACCCCUAUAAAUAAAGUAAUACCUGUUGAGGCUCCUGGAGACCAUGGCCCAUGAUUAUGGAGGGCCUGUGCGCCAAGGGGAUCUCCAGGAAACUGUUUAAUACUGCAAUCUUAAGGGUUCAGGCUGUCUUUGCUUGAAGAAAACUUCCGCAGAAGUCACUAGCAUUAAUCUUGUAAGGUAG
rnacentral:lncRNA from 1 species